rnacentral:lncRNA from 1 species
ACAGUUAUGCAGGCAGCCAAAGAGGCCCUAAAGUUCACUGCAUAUUAGAGCAACGAAUUUCAUAGACCAAGAAAUGUGGAUUGCCUCCAGAAUCAAAUAGUUUUAGCUCUCAAUAGCACCAUUUUGAUAAGCAUGAAGACAAAUGAUCUGAAAUAAAGUGCCAAAGGAGACAUGAUCGAAAUGGAAACCAGAUGCAUGCCUCAUUUCCAAAGUGCAAGGAGGAUUAUGAUGACUUUAAAAAGGUGAGU